UUAACACAAAUUUGUAUGCAGUUGGAACAGCGCCCCUAGCGGCAAACGUAGGCAAACGUUCCAACUCUAUACAAAUUCGAUUUA
rnacentral:pre_miRNA from 1 species